UAGGGAAUUUUCGUCAAUGGGCGCAAGCCUGAACGAGCGAUGCCGCGUGAGUGAAGAAGGCCUUCGGUCGUAAAGCUCUGUUGCGGGGGAAAAAAGGCAGCAUCAGGAAAUGGGUGCUGACUGAUGGUGCCCCGCCAGAAAGUCAUGGCUAACUACGUGCC
rnacentral:rRNA from 1 species